rnacentral:rRNA from 1 species
UUAACGCUAGCGGCAGGCCUAAUACAUGCAAGUCGAACGGCAGCACGGGUAGCAAUACCUGGUGGCGAGUGGCGCACGGGUGCGUAACGCGUAUGCAACCUACCUUUGACUGGGGCAUAGCCCCGAGAAAUCGGGAUUAAUACCCCAUAAUAUUAAGAUAUGGCAUCAUAUUUUAAUUAAAGCUUCGGCGGUCUUAGAUGGGCAUGCGUGACAUUAGCUUGUUGGUGAGGUAACGGCUCACCAAGGCAACGAUGUCUAGGGGUUCUGAGAGGAUUUUCCCCCACACUGGUACUGAGACACGGACCAGACUCCUACGGGAGGCAGCAGUAAGGAAUAUUGGGCAAUGGACGAAAGUCUGACCCAGCCAUGCCGCGUGCAGGAUGACAGCCCUACGGGUUGUAAACUGCUUUUAUACGGGAAAAAUUCCCCGGUCGUGUAUCGGGGUUGAUGGUACCGUAAGAAUAAGCAUCGGCUAACUCC